CAUAACGUGGAAGGGGAUUUAGGGUUCACCUGGUUGUGACGUUCCCAAUUCCUUCUUCAGACUCCUUCGUAUUCGCUCUUCUCUAGCGAAACCCCAAACGGCGCCGCUUCAACCUUCCUCUCCGGCGAAACAAAAUCUAACGCCGCCAUGAGCCGAGCCACACGCAACUCUCUUCCUUGCCUCUCAUCUCAAACUCAAACUCUCAUAAUCAAACCAAAAGAAGAACCCUAGAUUCGAUAAGAAAAAUCUCCAAUUUCUGAUGCCGAAAUCAAAUUGUGGCGUGAAGGACUUAUGGUGAAGAUGAUGAUGAAUUUUCCCGAUUGAAGAUGAAGAUCGAAUGGGAAGAGUUUGGUGAUGAGAAUUCAGAUGAUUUGCGAAAUUGAUGACGAACAGAUGAAGAUGAUUGCAACUCUGAUGCGUGUUGAAGAUUGAUUGAGGGAUGAUUCUGGUGAAAGGAACGAAGGUUGAUGAUGAAGAAGUUAUGAAGGUGAUAAUUAUGUAUGGUAUGAAGCAGAGAAUGAAGAUAAUGGAGGUGGAGAAGGAUAAAGAGUGGAAUCUGCCAAAUGGCGGAGAAAGAUGAAGAUGGUGAAUGAAGUGUGU